UAGCUGAGUCGGUAAAGAAUCUGCCUGCAAUGCAGGAGACCUGGGUUUGAUUCCUAG
rnacentral:tRNA from 1 species